AUUGAACGCUAGCGGGAUGCUUAACACAUGCAAGUCGCACGAGUGGCGGACGGGUGAGAAAUGUCUCGGAACGUGCCCAGAAGCGGGGGAUAACUACUCAAAAGAAUGGCUAAUAAAGCAUAAGAUGGGAGCGGCACAUAUCGGAUUAGCUAGUUGUUGGGGUAAAGGCUCACCAAGGCACAGAACCGUAGAUGGUGUGAGAGGACGACCAGCCAAACUGGGACUGCACCACUGCCCAGACUCCUACGUGAGGCAGCAGUGGGGAAUGUUGGCCAAUGGGGGAAACCCUGAUCCAGCCAUCCCGCGUGUAUGAGAAGGCCUUCGGGUUGUAAAGUACUUUUGGCAGGGAAGCGGUAUCUGCAGAAUAAGCACCGGCUAACUCCGUGCCAGCAGCCGCGGUAAUAC
rnacentral:rRNA from 1 species